UACAGAGGUCUCAAGCGUUGUUCGGAUUCAUUGGGCGUAAAGGGUGCGUAGGUGGCGCUGUAAGUCGGGUGUGAAAUUUCGGAGCUUAACUCCCGAAACUGCAUUCGAUACUGCGGUGCUUGAGGACUGGAGAGGAGACUGGAAUUCAUGGUGUAGCAGUGAAAUGCGUAGAGAUCAUGAGGAAGACCAGUGGCGAAGGCGGGUCUCUGGACAGUUCCUGACACUGAGGCACGAAGGCCAGGGGGAGCAAACGGG
rnacentral:rRNA from 1 species